rnacentral:rRNA from 1 species
GAUGAACGCUAGCGGGAGGCCUAACACAUGCAAGCCGAGCGGUAUUGUUUCUUCGGAAAUGAGAGAGCGGCGUACGGGUGCGUAACACGUGUGCAACCUGCCUUUAUCUGGGGGAUAGCCUUUCGAAAGGAAGAUUAAUACUCCAUAACAUAUUGAACGGCAUAGUUUACUAUUGAAGGCUCCGGCGGAUAGAGAUGGGCACGCGAAAGAUUAGCUAGUGGGUGAGGUAACGGCUCACCAAGGCGAUGAUCUUUAGGGGGCCUGAGAGGGUGAUACCCCACACUGGUACUGAGACACGGACCAGACUCCUACGGGAGGCAGCAGUGAGGAAUAUAGGACAAUGGGUGAAAGCCUGAUCCAGCCAUCCCGCGUGAAGGACGACUGCCCUAUGGGUUGUAAACUUCUUUUGUAUAGGGAUAAACCUACCCUCGUGAGGGUAGCUGAAGGUACUAUACGAAUAAGCACCGGCUAACUCCGUGCCAGCCGCCGCGGUAA